UCUUAUUUUACCAUGCUGUUGAUACCAAAUGUCAGAUUGAUAGCUUAUGCCACCAGUUCUCACUCAACCCAUGAAAAGCUUUUAUAUCAUGGUCCAAGAUAUAAGCACAACUGUUCUAUACAAUAAAACAUUUACGUUUACUACAUCACAAAGGUGUGAUUGAUAUAAAUUAAAAAUAUUUAAUAUAUGCACUCAAAAUGCUGCAUUUUAACAAAGCCAACUGUAUAAGGCAAAAGGUAUCUUUACAGAUUACACUGGCAAGAAAUUAACCAUAUUUGUGAAUAAGUGGAACAUCUCAGGUUAUGAAUGUGUACUCUAAACAAAUAUAAGAAAGGAAAAAUUAACACUAAAUUAGCAAGAAACAAAGCAAAAAAAAUAAAAAAUAAUGGACCACUAUCUAGCCCCCUGCCCUACUAAAUAUAGUAAAAUCAUACCUUCAUUCCAGUCUGCUGGUGCUGGCUCUGCCCCUGAUCUGCCUUCUUGGCUGACAUCAUAAUUGAUGAUCUCAGCCAAUCACAAUGCUUCCCCAUAGGGAAACAUUGGAUUUGCUGAGAUUGUCAAUUCUGAUUAUCUCAGCCAAGGAGGCGGGCUGAGGGUGGGGCCAAGCACUGCCUUGGCCAAUCAACAUCUCCUCAUAGAGAUGCAUUGAAUCAAUGCAUCUCAAUGAGGAAAGUUCAGUGUCUCCAUGCAAACGGAGACAAUGAAUGUCAGUGCAACACUCUGUGCAGCACUGCCCCAUGAAGCACAUUUGAAGGUGUCCCAAGUCUGUAAUGUAAAUACUGUCCUUUCUCUAAAAAGAUAGUGUGUACAGCAAAAAGCCUGCAGGGACUGACUAUACUCACUAGAACAACUACAUUAAACUGCAGUUGUUCUGGUGACUAUAGUGUCUCUAUAAUAUGUCAGAGGGGUAAGCCAAUAAAGAAUUUUAAAAGGAAAGUUAGAUGAGAAAAUGAAAACAAUCAAAACUUUUACUAAAAAGAAGGAUAAUGCCAAAACAUUAAGAAAUAGAAUUGUUGGUCCAUUUAAAUCUAAAAUGAUUAUGCACAUCAGUAAGCAUUUGCGAUAUAUUUACAUGUUGUGCUAUUAAAAUCAACAAACAUAUAUAAAGAUAACAUUUAGUUUUUGUUGUAAAGCAAAAUAUAUCAGGCUCUAAUAGAUAGUAAAACAAAGGGGGGAGAAGAGUCUGCGCUAAACCGGAGGAGCAGCAACCCUAUAAGGGAAUCCCUCAAGAAACCCUUGUAGAGACAAUAAAAUACAAAAAGGGGGGAAAGGGCUGCGCUAAAAAAUAAUCAAUAGACAAAGUUCGUCUAAAAAAUGGAUAAAAA